rnacentral:rRNA from 1 species
UACGAAGGGGGCUAGCGUUGCUCGGAAUCACUGGGCGUAAAGCGCACGUAGGCGGGUUGCUAAGUCAGGGGUGAAAUCCUGGAGCUCAACUCCAGAACUGCCCUUGAUACUGGCGGCCUUGAGUCCGGGAGAGGUGAGUGGAACUGCGAGUGUAGAGGUGAAGUUCGUAGAUAUUCGCAAGAACACCAGUGGCGAAGGCGCCUCACUGGCCCGGUACUGACGCUGAGGUGCGAAAGCGUGGGGAGCAAACAGG